rnacentral:misc_RNA from 1 species
GAAAUGCGAUAAGUAGUGUGAAUUGCAGAAUUCAGUGAAUCAUCGAAUCUUUGAACGCACAUUGCGCCCCUUGGUAUUCCAUGGGGCAUGCCUGUUCGAGCGUCAUUUGUACCCUCAAGCUCUGCUUGGUGUUGGGUGUUUGUCCCCGUCUCCGCGCGUGGACUCGCCCCAAAGUGAUUGGCAGCCGGCGUACUGGUCCCGGAGCGCAGCACAUGUCGCGCAAACGAGUGCCUUGGUACGGCGGCGUCCAUAAGCCCCUCUCUCACGCUCUUGACCUCGGAUCAGGUAGGGAUACCCGCUGAACUUAAGCA